rnacentral:lncRNA from 1 species
AUGCCUUGGUCUAAGUAGCUGUUGAAAGACAUCCAACAUUAUAUAGUAAAAUAACUGUGUGCCAAAUAUUAUGUGAUGAAUAAUCACCUUAUUAGCUUCCAUUCUGAAUAUCUAAUGUAAAAAAGCAGCAAUUGCAGAAAGGGACUCUAGCCAUAAUCUCAGAAAGCCAGUGGAAAUGUUCUAUAUGAAAGGCCAGAUACCCUUCCUCACCAUCUGGCAUGUAACUGAAUGUACUGGGUACAGACGAGACUGAACUGUGUUCAAAGGAAUUUUAUAUAGUGAGAUGACUAGAAGACUAGAAAAAUCAGCAGUACAAGGGUUGAACACAGAGCCAGAGGAAACUUUCCUGGGGAGGAGCUUUCUGAAUGGCAGGCAAAGUAAGUAGAAAGUGGUUUAUGAUUAUUGCCACAAAGGGUUUUUUUGCUUUUUUUUUAUAGCUCUUAUCUUCCAAGUUCACUGAAAGAAGUUAAGCAAGAAAUGCCACAUCUGAAGGCUUUCAGGAAGUUUGACUGGUAACUCCACAACCUGCAAUUCCUCUCUGUGCCAGCACUAGGAUAUCUGCAUGUAAACACAUUUCUGGUGUUCCUGAAGCUACAUCUGAGAGAAACACACUGAAGAUGGAAGGUGAAAACAGAGCAGCAUUGGACUUUAAGCUGUCUGGAAGCAGAAUUUGGACUUUCUUCUUCCAAUUCACUGAAUGGAUGGAGUCAACAGCAGAAAAUUAUAACUACCCAUGUGCUUACCAUGUGCCUAGAAUAAAUUUAAAGCAAUUCAAGAUAAUUUCUGGAGGUGAAGUUGGUCUUUUGGGGUAUAGGUCACGUCCUUAUGUUUCGUUGAAGGCCAGCUGCCUGCUGUGUGUGAGGACAUGGCUGUACUGCUGA